GAGAGGGAGAUAGUUAUAUUGAAGAAGGACAUCAUUAUGUGAACCAUUUGUUUUUUUAAUAUUCUAUCACUUUAUUUACAUGGACCAUAUCUUAACAGUGAAUGCAAAACUUAAAGAAAAUUAAGUUUCCCUUUCUAUAAUGGUAAUUUGCAUGUGAAUUAGUGAACAAAAUAGUGUUUUAUAAAUUUGAAUAUCAGCAGUCUCCUAGCAUUCAGGGGCAUUACAUACAUUUCUUACCAAACCUACAGUUUCACAGCUAUUCCAACCAAAUGGCUUUCAACUUUCUCACAGUUCAGAGCAGCUUUUUUCACAGCUCACAGCCCACAACAGCUUUUUCACAGCUUACAACC
rnacentral:lncRNA from 1 species